rnacentral:rRNA from 1 species
UCCCCGCACAAGCAGCGGAGCGUGUGGUUUAAUUCGUUGCUACACGAAGAACCUUACCUGGGCUUGACAUAGCAGUGGUAGGGAAGCGAAAGCGGACCGACCCUUCGGGGAGCUGUUACAGGUGUUGCAUGGCUGUCGUCAGCUCGUGUCGUGAGAUGUUCGGUUAAGUCCGCUAACGAGCGCAACCCGCGUUGUGUGUUACAAGUGUCACACAAUACCGCCGGUAUUAAGUCGGAGGAAGGUGCGGAUGACGUCAAGUCAGCAUGACCUUUAUAUCCAGGGCUACACACACGCUACAAUGGUCGGCACAAUAGGUUGCCAAGUCGUGAGACGGAGCCAAUCCUCCAAAGCCGGCCUCAGUUCAGAUUGCAGGCUGCAACUCGCCUGCGUGAAGUCGGAAUCGCUAGUAAUCGUGGAUCAGCAUGUCACGGUGAAUACGUUCCCGGGUCUU